UCCUCUCAUCACCUCCUCAGGCUGGCACCUCUUUGCCCACCGUGGGAUGUGUGUGUCUGCCUCAGGGGCUGCCUGUUUGUGAAGACCUGGGAUAUGUGUUUUGUUUUUUGUUUUUUCAUCGUGUCCGUGAUCGGGAUUUCCUACUGAGCUUGUGGGGAAGAGUGCUUUACCACUUGUGACCAGGUGGGGGCUCCACACGGCUUUGCAAAUCCUCUGAGACAGGAUAUUCCUAGUGCCUCAGCCCGGCUGUGGGCAUUUCUGCUGCAAGAUCUGAAGCCUGCGCAAAGCGAUCUCUGGAGCCAAAUACGUUAAUGAGAAAGGUCUGAUCACACAUCUUUUACCCAAGAUGAAGCUGAAAAAGAGGGAGAGAAGAAAAAGGGAUGUGUGUUACGCGGGCCUCUCACUGUUGUGGCCUCUCCCGUUGCGGAGCACAGGC